rnacentral:lncRNA from 1 species
GCUCACGGCUUCGACACCCUGCUCCAGAGCCUAUUUUCAGACCUGAAGACAUCCUGCCUCUCGCCUGUCACAGCCACUGUUUAAGAAGUUCACACAGACCCGCUGGGCAAAGCCAGUUGAGACCCUGGAGGAAAUCAUCACUACUGUGAGCGUCAGCCUGCCCGAAUUCUCAGAGCUGCAGGACUGUUUCCGGGAGGAGCUCAUGGAGGCAGUGCACCUGCACCUGGUAAAGGAAUACAUCAUCCGGCUCAGCAAACGGCGCCUGGUCCUCAA